rnacentral:rRNA from 1 species
GACGAACGCUGGCGGCGUGCUUAACACAUGCCAGUCGAACGCUGAAGCACCAGCUUGCUGGUGUGGAUGAGUGGCGAACGGGUGAGUAAUACGUGAGUAACCUGCCCUUGACUCUGGGAUAAGCCCGGGAAACUGGGUCUAAUACUGGAUGCUACAUGUCACCGCAUGGUGGUGUGUGGAAAGGGUUUACUGGUCUUGGAUGGGCUCACGGCCUAUCAGCUUGUUGGUGAGGUAAUGGCUCACCAAGGCGACGACGGGUAGCCGGCCUGAGAGGGUGACCGGCCACACUGGGACUGAGACACGGCCCAGACUCCGACGGGAGGCAGCAGUGGGGAAUAUUGCACAAUGGGCGAAAGCCUGAUGCAGCGGCGCCGCGUGAGGGAUGACGGCCUUCGGGUUGUAAACCUCUUUCAGCAGGGAAGAAGCCACAAGUGACGGUACCUGCAGAAGAAGCGCCGGCUAACUACGUG